rnacentral:rRNA from 1 species
GCAUAUCAAUAAGCGGAGGAAAAGAAACCAACCGGGAUUGCUCCAGUAGCGGCGAGUGAAGCGGCAAGAGCUCAGAUUUGAAAUCGUGUUUCGGCACGAGUUGUAGAGUGUAGGCGGGAGUCUCUGUGGAGCGCGGUGUCCAAGUCCCUUGGAACAGGGUGCCUGAGAGGGUGAGAGCCCCGUAGGGUGCUGCGCGAAGCUUUUGAGGCCCUGCUGACGAGUCGAGUUGUUUGGGAAUGCAGCUCCAAGCGGGUGGUAAAUUCCAUCUAAGGCUAAAUAUUGGCGAGAGACCGAUAGCGAACAAGUACUGUGAAGGAAAGAUGAAAAGCACUUUGAAAAGAGAGUGAAACAGCACGUGAAAUUGUUGAAAGGGAAGGGUAUUGGGCUCGACAUGGGGGGUGCGCACCGCUGUCUCUUGUAGGCGGCGCUCUGGGCGCCCUCUGGGCCAGCAUCGGUUCCUGCUGCGGGAGAAGGGGCUCCGGAAAGUGGCUCUUCGGAGUGUUAUAGCCGGGGCCAGAUGCCGCGUGUGGGGACCGAGGACUGCGGCUUCUGUCUCGGAUGCUGGCAUAACGGCGCAAUACCGCCCGUCUU